rnacentral:misc_RNA from 1 species
GAUGAAGAACGCAGCGAAAUGCGAUAACUAGUGUGAAUUGCAGAUUUUAGUGAAUCAUCGAGUUUUUGAACGCACAUUGCGCCCCUUGGUAUUCCAUGGGGCAUGCCUGUUCGAGCGUCAUUUGUACCUUCAAGCUUUGCUUGGUGUUGGGUGUUUGUCCCUCGGGACUCGCCUUAAAGUCAUUGGCAGCCAGUGUUUUGGUUUUGAAGCGCAGCACAAGUCGCGAUUCAAGGCUAUCCGCCCGCUUCCACAAGCCUUUUUCACUUUUGACCUCGGAUCAGGUAGGGAUACCCGCUGAACUUAAGCAUAUCAAUAAGCGGAGGA